CCUACGGGUGGCAGCAAUUAGGAAUCUUGCGCAAUGGGGGCAACCCUGACGCAGCGACGCCGCGUGGAGGAGGAAGUCUUUCGGGAUGUAAACUCCUUUUAGGUAGGAAGAAGGAUGUGACGGUACUACCUGAAUAAGCCCCGGCUAACUACGUGCCAGCAGCCGCGGUAAUACGUAGGGGGCGAGCGUUGUCCGAAGUUACUGGGCGUAAAGCGCGCGUAGGCGGGAGAGCAAGUCCGCUGUGAAAGCCCGAGGCUUAACCUCGGAGGGUCGGUGGAUACUGUUUUUCUUGAAGAGGCUAGGGGGAGAUGGAAUUACCGGUGUAGCGGUGAAAUGCGUAGAGAUCGGUAGGAACACCAGUGGCGAAGGCGGUCUCCUGGAGCCCUCUUGACGCUGAUGCGCGAAAGCUGGGGGAGCGAACGGGAUUAGAUACCCUUGUA
rnacentral:rRNA from 1 species